GUCCAUCUACAGUCCAUUUAGACAAGGUCCACGUCACAUGAAGGAUAUCUAAAAUGUUUUUUCUAAAAUACCAUGCAAGAAUGAUUGAUUAAAUAGUAAACAAGUGAAGUGUUACAGCAGGAAACGGUAUGGUAAAAGCCAUCCACGGUAACCUGUUACCAAGAAAUUAAUGUAUGUGGUGCCAUGUGUGUAGCUGAGUGUUACAAUGCCAGGUCAUAAACGUCACGGUAGACAGGAUAUUACUGAAGAGCUGAGAAUGUAUUAUUGGCUAUAACUGAAGCAGCCCCCAUACCCCCCACACACACAUACAUGUGCACACACAAACAAACAUAGUCAAAAACAGCAUGUACAUUUGGCAUAGAAUUUUCUCUCUCAAAACGUCCUCUUUAAUCAGAAUUGUCUGUGCUCUAACAUUAUCUAGCAGUAAGACAAUAACAAGGGAAAUAGUACUGUAAACACAUAAUAAAUCCUAUUAUUCUUCUACUUUUUUCCACAGUAACCCCCUUUGCUACUGUUAUUUUUCACUGUCUUUUUACUGUUGUUUUUAUUUCUUUACUUACCUAUUGUUCACCUAAGCCUUUUUUUAAAACUUAGAAGUUGCACUGUUGGUUAGAGCCUGUAAGUAAGCAUUUCACUGUAAGGUCUACUACACCUGUUGUAUUCGGCGCACGUGACAAAUAAACUUUGAUUUCAUUUGAUUCAAGAAGAAAGGCAGCCCAUUCCCAUUAAGACAUGCCUGUGUUUCCGGGAGCUGGAGGAGAGUGGCUGGUAGAUCUGUUGAGGAGCAGAUGUCAGAGGGGACAGUAAAAGAGACUGAGGGAUGAGGAUGUGGAUCCAUAUAAAGAGCAGGGUCUCUAGCAGGGUGACAGAACAACAGGACACAGCCAGCAGCCAGUUAGCUCAUCACCAGCAGGGACUCACACAGGGAAACAGAGACUAAGCAGGAUGACCAUGCGUGGAGCGAUGACGGGCUGUGUGGUGCUGGUGUGUCUGGUGGCCAUGCUGCAUGAACGGGCAGAGGGACACUUCUCCUUCUUCAGCCCCAAAGAGAUGAGGGAGAUGAAGGCCCUACAGAAUAAGUUGGGGAGGAAGGACAUGGAGCCUCGGUCAGAGGAUGGACAGUUUCAGGAUGUCACCAUCCAACAGCUUCCUGAGGACGAUGGUGGAACUCCUGGGAAGACAGUGGAGAUAAGUGUUCGACUGACAGCCAAACAGCUGGAGCAUGUGGCCCCCGUGCUGGAAGACAUCAUCCAUGAAAUGGUGGAGCAGGCAGAGAAGAAAGCCAAAUGAGGAGACAUAAGACCACAGGAAACAUCAAAGGUGCCAGUAUACUAUAAUUGACCAGGAAUACAUGCACAGAUAGCUUGUUAUGUGUCAAUGAUAUGAAUAAAGGGAAACAAUAAUUUCAACAUUACUUUUCUUGUCUUGUGAAAUUGCUGUAUAUCCAUAUAUGUCACACUUACAUACCCUACAUUCUAGAUUGCAGUGUCUAUGUAAUGUAAAGAAACAACCACUCAUUGCUGGUAGUGAGUUAAUUGACAACAUUCUCUCUUCUUUACAAAUAAGCAUGCACAAAUGUGCACGCAUGAGCACACACACGAGCACAUACAGUUACGCUAUUUAGCAGAUACUCAUAUCCAGAGCAACUUAUAGGAGCAAUUAGGGCUGAGUGCCUUGCUUGAGCACAUCAACAGAUUUUUCACCUAUUCGGCUCGGGGAUUCAGACCAGCAACCUCUCGGUUACUGGCCCAACCACUAGGACACACACACACAGAGAGAGAGAGAGAGAGCGAGAGAGCGAGAGAGCGAGAGAGCGAGAGAGCGAGAGAGCGAGAGAGCGAGAGAGCGAGAGAGCGCGAGAGAGAGAGAGAGAGAGACAGACAGACAGACAGACAGACAGACAGACAGACAGACAGACAGACAGACAGACAGACAGACAGACAGACAGACAGACAGACAGACAGACAGACAGACAGACAGACAGACAGACAGACAGACAGACAGACAGACAGACAGACAGACAGAGAGUGAGUAUUUGAGGAUGGCCGGAGGGCAUUGGAGGUUGGAGUAUUUAGCAUUUGAAACAGCUUUUUCCUGCAAUCUAGAGCCAUUAUCAUUAUGCUUAAUUCUAUGUAAAAACGGUACAUUUUUCUGCAUCGCUAACAUCUAAUCAUAUCAAAUUUUAUUUGUCACAUGUGCCGAAUUCAACAGGUAGACCUUACCGUGAAAUGCUUACUUACAAGCCCUUACCCUUACCCAACAAUGCAGUUCAAGAAAUUGUCACACCCUGAUCUGUUUCACCUGUCCUUGUCGCCCUUCUUCCCCAUUCCCCAUUAAAUACUGUGUAUUUACAGUGCCUUGCGAAAGUAUUCGGCCCCCUUGAACUUUGCAACCUUUUGCCACAUUUCAGGCUUCAAACAUAAAGAUAUAAAACUGUAUUUUUUUGUGAAGAAUCAACAACAAGUGGGACACAAUCAUGAAGUGGAACGACAUUUAUUGGAUAUUUCAAACUUUUUUAACAUAUCAAAAACUGAAAAAUUGGGCGUGCAAAAUUAUUCAGCCCCCUUAAGUUAAUACUUUGUAGCGCCACCUUUUGCUGCGAUUACAGCUGUAAGUCGCUUGGGGUAUGUCUCUAUCAGUUUUGCACAUCGAGAGACUGAAUUUUUUUCGCAUUCCUCCUUGCAAAACAGCUCGAGCUCAGUGAGGUUGGAUGGAGAGCAUUUGUGAACAGCAGUUUUCAGUUCUUUCCACAGAUUCUCGAUUGGAUUCAGGUCUGGACUUUGACUUGGCCAUUCUAACACCUGGAUAUGUUUCUUUUUGAACCAUUCCAUUGUAGAUUUUGCUUUAUGUUUUGGAUCAUUGUCUUGUUGGAAGACAAAUCUCCAUCCCAGUCUCAGGUCUUUUGCAGACUCCAUCAGGUUUUCUUCCAGAAUGGUCCUGUAUUUGGCUCCAUCCAUCUUCCCAUCAAUUUUAACCAUCUUCCCUGUCCCUGCUGAAGAAAAUCAGGCCCAAACCAUGAUGCUGCCACCACCAUGUUUGACAGUGGGAUGGUGUGUUCAGGGUGAUGGGCUGUGUUGCUUUUACGCCAAACAUAACGUUUUGCAUUGUUGCCAAAAAGUACAAUUUUGGUUUCAUCUGACCAGAGCACCUUCUUCCACAUGUUUGGUGUGUCUCCCAGGUGGCUUGUGGCAAACUUUAAAUGACACUUUUUAUGGAUAUCUUUAAGAAAUGGCUUUCUUCUUGCCACUCUUCCAUAAAGGCCAGAUUUGUGCAAUAUACGACUGAUUGUUGUCCUAUGGACAGAGUCUCCCACCUCAGCUGUAGAUCUCUGCAGUUCAUCCAGAGUGAUCAUGGGCCUCUUGGCUGCAUCUCUGAUCUCUGAUAUUUAUCAUCAUUAGUCAUUUAGGUCAACAUUGGAUCAUUCAGAGAUCCUCACUGACCUUCUGGAGAGAGUUUGCUGCACUGAAAGUAAAGGGGCUGAAUAAUUUUGCAUGCCCAAUUUUUAAGUUUUUGAUCUGUUAAAAAAGUUUGAAAUAUCCAAUAAAUGUCGUUCCACUUCAUGAUUGUGUCCCACUUGUUGUUGAUUCUUCACAAAAAAAUACAGUUUUAUAUCUUUAUUUUUGAAGCCUGAAAUGUGGCAAAAGGUCGCAAAGUUCAAGGGGGCCGAAUACUUUCGCAAGGCACUGUAUAUACAUCAUAUGUGACUCGUAAUAAGACUAAGAAAUUAGCCUAUUAAAAUGUUUACCU
rnacentral:lncRNA from 13 species